rnacentral:rRNA from 1 species
GAUGAACGCUGGCGGCGUGCCUAAUACAUGCAAGUCGAGCGAACGGACGAGAAGCUUGCUUCUCUGAUGUUAGCGGCGGACGGGUGAGUAACACGUGGAUGACCUACCUAUAAGACUGGGAUAACUUCGGGAAACCGGAGCUAAUACCGGAUAAUAUUUUGAACCGCAUGGUUCAAAAGUGAAAGACGGUCUUGCUGUCACUUAUAGAUGGAUCCGCGCUGCAUUAGCUAGUUGGUAAGGUAACGGCUUACCAAGGCAACGAUGCAUAGCCGACCUGAGAGGGUGAUCGGCCACACUGGAACUGAGACACGGUCCAGACUCCUACGGGAGGCAGCAGUAGGGAAUCUUCCGCAAUGGGCGAAAGCCUGACGGAGCAACGCCGCGUGAGUGAUGAAGGUCUUCGGAUCGUAAAACUCUGUUAUUAGGGAAGAACAUAUGUGUAAGUAACUGUGCACAUCUUGACGGUACCUAAUCAGAAAGCCACGGCUAACUACGUGCCAGCAGCCGCGGUAAUACGUAGGUGGCAAGCGUUAUCCGGAAUUAUUGGGCGUAAAGCGCGCGUAGGCGGUUUUUUAAGUCUGAUGUGAAAGCCCACGGCUCAACCGUGGAGGGUCAUUGGAAACUGGAAAACUUGAGUGCAGAAGAGGAAAGUGGAAUUCCAUGUGUAGCGGUGAAAUGCGCAGAGAUAUGGAGGAACACCAGAGGCGAAGGCGACUUUCUGGUCUGUAACUGACGCUGAUGUGCGAAAGCGUGGGGAUCAAACAGGAUUAGAUACCCUGGUAGUCCACGCCGUAAACGAUGAGUGCUAAGUGUUAGGGGGUUUCCGCCCCUUAGUGCUGCAGCUAACGCAUUAAGCACUCCGCCUGGGGAGUACGACCGCAAGGUUGAAACUCAAAGGAAUUGACGGGGACCCGCACAAGCGGUGGAGCAUGUGGUUUAAUUCGAAGCAACGCGAAGAACCUUACCAAAUCUUGACAUCCUUUGACAACUUUAGAGAUAGAGCCUUCCCCUUCGGGGGACAAAGUGACAGGUGGUGCAUGGUUGUCGUCAGCUCGUGUCGUGAGAUGUUGGGUUAAGUCCCGCAACGAGCGCAACCCUUAAGCUUAGUUGCCAUCAUUAAGUUGGGCACUCUAAGUUGACUGCCGGUGACAAACCGGAGGAAGGUGGGGAUGACGUCAAAUCAUCAUGCCCCUUAUGAUUUGGGCUACACACGUGCUACAAUGGACAAUACAAAGGGCAGCGAAACCGCGAGGUCAAGCAAAUCCCAUAAAGUUGUUCUCAGUUCGGAUUGUAGUCUGCAACUCGACUACAUGAAGCUGGAAUCGCUAGUAAUCGUAGAUCAGCAUGCUACGGUGAAUACGUUCCCGGGUCU